CCCUUAGAUGUUCUGGACCGCACGCGCGCUACACUGAUGCAUUCAACGAGUUUCUUCCUGGUCCGAGAGGAAUGGGUAACCUUUUGAAAGUGCAUCGUGAUAGGGAUAGACUAUUGCAAUUAUUGGUCUUCAACGAGGAAUUCCUAGUAGACGUAGUUCAUCAGACUGCAUCGAUUACGUCCCUGCCCUUUGUACACACCGCCCGUCGCUCCUACCGAUUGAAUGCUCAGGUGAGCCAUUCGGACCUUCAUCAUGCCGGUUUCCGGUUUUGAUGAGGGAAAGUCUUGCGAACCUUAUCAUUUAGAGGAAGGAGAAGUCGUAACA
rnacentral:rRNA from 1 species